AAAAAGGUACGUUAUCACGAUUACGGUAAGGAACAUACAUCAAUCGAAAUACGUCAAUUCUAUUCUAUAAGAAAUCAAAUUAAGAAAAAGAGAUUCAUAGACAUAAAUUGAAAAGGAAGUGAAAUUGUAUUGGAAAUUAUAAUAAUCUCAAAGUUGUUGGAUCCGAUUACAUCAGAUCAACCUUUGAAAAUUAGCUCUCCAUAAAAUUCUUAGCGUAUUCUCUAAUUUCUUGAAAAUUGAAUACAUAACCUAAUGCUACAAAUUUGUUUUAAAUAAUACAAGAGAAUAUGGGUCCUAAUAGAAAUCGACCCGCAAAAAAAACUAAUUAUCUCUUAAGUCUAGCAAAAAAACAC
rnacentral:lncRNA from 1 species